AUGGAUCCAAAUUACAGCCGGCGGUCAAGAAACGAAGAUGAUUUUGUACAUUUCAUACUCCCUACAUUACAAGGUAGCUCAUCCCAAUCAUCUGAGAGGAAAGCAAUACAUACAUCCAUCCUGAAUGGAGCUACUUAUGUGCAUGAAGCUCUUACCGGCCACGAGGUUCUAUGUCAAUGGCGGUUCCAUAUGGAGAGACCAAUCUUUCAAGCUUUAGUACAAAAACUGUGUGAAAAGCACCUUCUCCAGGAUGCAAGGUAUAUCUCUGUGCAAAAGCAAGUAGCUAUAUUUUUGUAUGCAGUAUCAAAGAACGCAACCAACAGAACAUUGCAAGAUAGAUUCCAGCACGGUGCAGAUUCAAUUAGUACUUAUUUCCACGCCGUGCUCAACGCGAUUACUCGACUCACAUGCAACUACAUACAACCUUCUGUACACCAGCAUCCCAUAUUAAGGCAACAAAAGUUUUCAUACUUUAAGAAUUGUAUUGGAGCUAUUGAUGGUACUCACUUUCCCAUGACUAUUCCUCCUGGGCAACAAGACCCAUACAGAAAUAGAAAACAAGGUCUUUCACAAAAUGUAAUGGUUGCUUGUGACUUUGACAUGAAGUUUGUGCAUGUACAUGCUGGAUGGGAGGGAUCUGCAUCAGAUACAAGGGUUUUGCAAGAUGCACUAGACCAUGGAUUCAAUGUACCGCCUGGAAAAUUUUAUCUUGUAGAUGCAGGUUAUGCAAAUACACCCCAAUUCAUUGCUCCAUACCGAGGAACUAGAUACCAUUUACAAGAACACGGAAGAUUUCAGCAAAGGCCACAGUGCUACAAGGAGUUAUUUAACCUUCGACAUGCACAGCUAAGAAAUCACGUCGAAAGAAUUAUUGGCAUACUGAAAGCAAGAGCUACAAUGGAUGUUAAUGAAAGCAAUAUGAAGGAUGUACCAGAUGGAGAUGUCAAAUACAAAAAAGAUGUGAUUGUAUUUAACAACUUGAGACAAGCUGGAAAUGAGAUGCGAGAUGCCAUGGCAAUGCAAAUGUGGGCAGAUUACAUUGCUAGAAGAUAA
rnacentral:rRNA from 1 species